rnacentral:rRNA from 1 species
GACAGAGGUCCCGAGCGUUAGGCGGAAUCACUGGGCUUAAAGCGUGUGUAGGCGGAUUUGUAAGUACCUUGUGAAAUCCCACGGCUUAACCGUGGAACUGCUGGGUAUACUGCGAAUCUUGGGCCAUCUAGGGGCUAGCGGAACAAACGGUGGAGCGGUGAAAUGCGUAGAUAUCGUUUAGAACGCCAAUGGUGAAAACAGCUAGCUGGGGAUGUGCCGACGCUGAGACACGAAAGCCAGGGGGAGCGAACGGGG